UACGUAGGCGGAAUAUUAAGUCAGUGGUGAAAUCCUGCAGCUUAACUGUAGAAUUGCCAUUGAUACUGAUCUUCUUGAAUUUAGUUGAGGUGGGCGGAAUGUGUAAUGUAGCGGUGAAAUGCUUAGAUAUUACACAGAACACCGAUUGCGAAGGCAGCUCACUAAACUAACAUUGACGCUAAGGUACGAAAGCGUGGGGAGCGAACCGGAUUAGAUACCCGAGUAGUCC
rnacentral:rRNA from 1 species